UUACUGGUCACCUGGUGCUGGGGAGGAAGGAAGAACUGGGAGGGGGGAUGACUAAGGAUAACAGGGUUCCUUGUUGGGGAAAUGAAAAUGUUCUAAAAUCAAUUGAAUUGUGGUGAUGGAUGCACCGUUAUAUUAUCAUUCUGAUGCAACUGACUAACCUGGUGACUGUGUCAUGAGGCCCACAGCCAAGGACUGCGGUGACCAGUUGCUGUGGGGAGACUCCAGCACAUUACUGACGGGACUUCCCGAUGGGGAAGGACUUCCUGGUGCCACGCUGUUGAUUGUUUUCUGCAUGGCUUAUGAUAUGUUGUCAUUACCAUGGGGAUUACACGAAACAUCCUGAAGUUAGAGCAAUCCAUUUUAAACUGAUGUUUUGUUGAUGGCUGACGUAGCGGACUCAAAACAACGAGCACUUCUGCUUGAUACACAGAUUCUCCGAGGUUCCUGUGGAGCCACAGCACCUCCUGUCUUGGCACUUCAUAGUUGUCUCAUCGAGUCCAAGGCUG
rnacentral:lncRNA from 1 species